AAGAAGUCAGGCCAGAUUAAGCCAUAGUACGGUAAGAGCUAUGCUGCCUGUGAGCCCCGUCCAAGGACGCAAAAUGAAGUCAGGCCGAAAGCCACGGCUUGAGCAAACCGUGCUGCCUGUAGCUCCAUCGUGGGGAUGUAAAAACCUGGGAGGCUGCAACCCAUGGAAGCUGUACGCAUGGGGUAGCAGACUAGUGGUUAGAGGAGACCCCUCCCGAAACAUAACGCAGCAGCGGGGCCCAACACCAGGGGAAGCUGUACCCUGGUGGUAAGGACUAGAG
rnacentral:lncRNA from 1 species